AUUGAACGCUGGCGGCAGGCCUAACACAUGCAAGUCGAGCGGCAGCACUUCGGGUGGCGAGCGGCGGACGGGUGAGUAACACGUAGGAAUCUACCUAGUAGUGGGGGAUAGCCCGGGGAAACUCGGAUUAAUACCGCAUACGCUCUACGGAGGAAAGGGGGCUUCGGCUCUCGCUAUUAGAUGAGCCUGCGUCGGAUUAGCUAGUUGGUAGGGUAAAGGCCUACCAAGGCUACGAUCCGUAACUGGUCUGAGAGGAUGAUCAGUCACACUGGAACUGAGACACGGUCCAGACUCCUACGGGAGGCAGCAGUGGGGAAUUUUGGACAAUGGGCGCAAGCCUGAUCCAGCCAUUCCGCGUGCAGGACGAAGGCCUCGGGUUGUAACUAGCUUUGUACGGUAACGAAAGGGACGUCUCUCUAAU
rnacentral:rRNA from 1 species